rnacentral:rRNA from 1 species
AUUGAACGCUGGCGGCAUGCCUUACACAUGCAAGUCGAACGGCAGCGCGGGAGCAAUCCUGGCGGCGAGUGGCGAACGGGUGAGUAAUACAUCGGAACGUGCCCAAUCGUGGGGGAUAACGCAGCGAAAGCUGUGCUAAUACCGCAUACGAUCUACGGAUGAAAGCAGGGGAUCGCAAGACCUUGCGCGAAUGGAGCGGCCGAUGGCAGAUUAGGUAGUUGGUGAGGUAAAGGCUCACCAAGCCUUCGAUCUGUAGCUGGUCUGAGAGGACGACCAGCCACACUGGGACUGAGACACGGCCCAGACUCCUACGGGAGGCAGCAGUGGGGG